AAUGUUUUCCUUCCCACAUAAAUGCAUGGAUGGCCGGCGGCACUAAUCAGAGCAGCCCCACACCUGCUCGUCUGCAGACUCCCUGCAUGUAUGCCCUAAGGCCAUUGGCUUCGGAUUUGCCGAACUGUACUCAUAAUUGGGUUGCCUCAUUUCACCGCAUCACCACUUGUAGCCUACCGUAGUGAUUACUAGAACUGAGCUCUCAGAGCCUCGAGGCUCUAGACCUAGCUAGGUUACCAAGAGUUCCAGAACGCAGCUGCAGAAGGUUCUGUCAACAGUCAGUGAGUUCUCAGCAGUAUUGGAACCAUCUCCUGGCAUGUGCUGCAUGCAAUAGUGCUGUCCUGGAGUGCAAAUCAGGCCUCAAGAUUGGGGGUGUGGCACAUUGGAAUCAUCCUAUUAC
rnacentral:lncRNA from 1 species